UGUGGAUAGCGGAGAAAUUCCAAUCGAACUCGGAGAUAGCUGGUUCUCCUCGAAAUAGCUUUAGGGCUAGCCUCGUAUAUGUCUAGCGGAGGUAGAGCACUGAAUAGUCUAGGGACCUACACAGGUUACCGAAACUUAUCAAACUCCGAAUGCCGCAUAGAUUUAGUACGGGAGUCAGACAGCGACAGAUAAGUGCCGUUGUCAAAAGGGAAACAGCCCAGAUCGCCAGCUAAGGUCCCAAAAUUAUGGUUAAGUGGUAAAGGAUGUGGAUUUGCUAAGACAGCUAGGAUGUUGGCUUAGAAGCAGCCACUCAUUUAAAGAGUGCGUAACAGCUCACUAGUCGAGUGAGUCUGCGCCGAAAAUCAACGGGGCUAAAACCAUAUACCGAAGCUGCGGAUUCAGAAAUGAAUGGUAGAGGAGCUUACUGUAGGCAGUUGAAGCACGAUCGUAAGGACGUGUGGAUGUAUCAGUAGUGAGAAUGUCGGAAUAAGUAACGAGAGACAAGUGAGAAUCUUGUCCGUCGAAAAUCCAAGGUUUCCUGGGGAAGGGUCGUCCUCCCAGGGUUAGUCGGGACCUAAGGCGAGGCUGACAAGCGUAGCCGAUGGACAACAGGUUGAUAUUCCUGUACCGCCGUUGCUCGUUUUAAGAGAAGCAAGGACGCAGUAGGAUAGUCGAUGCACACUGCAGGAUAUGUGUGUUCAAGCGAUGAGGAUAGAGAAGUAGUUAAGUACGCUUCUUGUUUCUGGGUCGUGAUGAGGAGGGAAAACAAGUACCGAAGUCGAUGAUUUCACACUGACGAGAAAAGUUGCUAUCAAGAGUAAAGGUGCCCGUACCGCAAACCGACACAGGUGGAUGAGGAGAGAAUCCUAAGACGAGCGGGAGAAGCGUUGUUAAGGAACUCGGCAAAUUAACCCCGUAAGUUCGCAAUAAGGGGAGCCUCGGUAGUGAUACCAGGUCGCAGAGAAUUGGCCCAAGCAACUGUUUACCAAAAACACAGGUCUCCGCUAAAUCGUAAGAUGAGGUAUGGGGGCUGACGCCUGCCCGGUGCUGGAAGGUCACGGGAAUCUGUUAGAGCAAUCGAAGCAGUGAACUUAAGCCCCAGUAAACGGCGGCCGUAACUAUAACGGUCCUAAGGUAGCGAAAUUCCUUGUCAGGUAAGUUCUGACCCGCACGAAUGGCGUAAUGAUUUGGGCACUGUCUCAACAGCCCGCCCGGCGAAAUUGUAGUACCGGUGAAGAUGCCGGUUACCCGCGACAAGACGGAAAGACCCCAUGGAGCUUUACUGUAGCCUAAUAUUGGGUUUCGAUGUUGCAUGCACAGGAUAGAUGGGACACUGGGAAACAAUCGCUUUGGCGGUUGCGGAGUGGCCGUUGGGAUACCAUCCUUGCGAUAUUGGAAUUCUAACCUGCGGCUCUGAAUCGAGUCGGGGGACAUUGUUAGGUGGGCAGUUUGACUGGGGCGGUCGCCUCCUAAAGAGUAACGGAGGCGUUCAAAGGUUCGCUCAGCUUGAACGGAAAUCAAGCAAAAGAGUGCAAACGCAGAAGCGAGCCUAACUGCGAGACUGACGGGUCGAGCAGUAACGAAAGUUGGAGUUAGUGAUCCGGUGGUAUGUGAGUGGAAAUGCCAUCGCUCAACGGAUAAAAGUUACCCUGGGGAUAACAGGCUGAUCUCCCCCAAGAGUUCACAUCGACGGGGAGGUUUGGCACCUCGAUGUCGGCUCA
rnacentral:rRNA from 1 species